AACCAUAGAAACCUGCGGAGUACCUGCGGAAGGAUCAUUACCGAGUGCAAACUCACCAACCCAUGUGAACAUACCUUCUGUUGCUUCGGCGGGAUCGCCCCGGGCGCCCUCUGCGCGCCCCGGACCAGGCACCCGCCGGGGGAUGCAAACUUUGGCUUUUAGUGGAUCUUCUGAGUCGCCUUAGGGCAAACAAAUGAAUCAAAACUUUUAACAACGGAUCU
rnacentral:misc_RNA from 1 species